ACGCUCGACACCUACGGGAGGCAGCAGUGGGGAAUAUUGGGCAAUGGGCGCAAGCCUGACCCAGCAACGCCGCGUGAAGGAAGAAGGCUUUCGGGUUGUAAACUUCUUUUAUUAAGGACGAAGCAAUGACGGUACUUAAUGAAUAAGCUCCGGCUAACUACGUGCCAACAGCCGCGGUAAUCUGAGCGGGCUGGCAAGGC
rnacentral:rRNA from 1 species